rnacentral:rRNA from 1 species
UGGGGAAUAUUGGACAAUGGGGGCAACCCUGACCCAGCAACGCCGCGUGAAGGAUGAAGUAUUUCGGUAUGUAAACUUCGAAAGAAUAGGAAGAAUAAAUGACGGUACUAUUUAUAAGGUCCGGCUAACUACGUGCCAGCAGCCGCGGUAAUACGUAGGGACCAAGCGUUGUUCGGAUUUACUGGGCGUAAAGGGCGCGUAGGCGGCAAUUCAAGUCAUCUGUGAAAUCUCCGGGCUUAACUCGGAACGGUCAGAUGAUACUGCUUUGCUAGAGUGCAGAAGGGGCAAUCGGAAUUCUUGGUGUAGCGGUGAAAUGCGUAGAUAUCAAGAGGAACACCUGAGGUGAAGACGGGUUGCUGGGCUGACACUGACGCUGAGGCGCGAAAGCCAGGGGAGCAAACGGGAUUAGAUACCCGGGUAGUCCCUGAGCGGGCUGGCAAGGCGCAU